rnacentral:rRNA from 1 species
GACGAACGCUGGCGGCGUGCUUAACACAUGCAAGUCGAACGGAAAGGCCCCUUUGGGGGUACUCGAGUGGCGAACGGGUGAGUAACACGUGAGUAACCUGCCCUUGACUUCGGGAUAACUUCAGGAAACUGGGGCUAAUAACGGAUAGGAAUCCUUGCUGCAUGGUGGGGGGUGGAAAGCUUCGGCGGGUUUGGAUGGACUCGCGGCUUAUCAGCUUGUUGGUGGGGUAGUGGCUUACCAAGGCUUUGACGGGUAGCCGGCCUGGGAGGGCGACCGGCCACAUUGGGACUGAGAUACGGCCCAGACUCCUACGGGAGGCAGCAGUGGGGAAUAUUGCACAAUGGGCGGAAGCCUGAUGCAGCAACGCCGCGUGCGGGAUGACGGCCUUCGGGUUGUAAACCGCUUUCAGCAGGGGCGAAGCUUGUGGUGACGGUACCUGCAGAAGAAGCACCGGCUAACUACGUG